UGUUCAUGGCAGAGAAACCUAAAAGUUCAUAUAAAAUUAUAAAUGUGAUAAUUAAUAUUUAGUUAAGUUGAAGUAAAGUAGAUUAUUGAGUGAGGGCAAAGAGAAGCAAUUGAAUGAGAUAAAUUUAUAAGUACAAAAACUUUGCACAAUUACCCCCACUGUCCCCAUGCCAAAUCCGCCAGUGGGGGUUGGCACAUCAUCCACGCUGCAAUUUUGUAAUAAAACUAAAAUUGGAAACAACUUCAUAGACACCAAACUAAAAGCAGAUCAUGCCUAGUAAUGCAAAUGGGAAACCAUACACACAAAACCAACUACAUAUAUAAUGUAUAUAUAGAAGCCAUUAAAUGCCAACAAUGCCCCACG
rnacentral:misc_RNA from 1 species